ACCCGCUGAACUUAAGCAUAUCAAUAAGCGGAGGAAAAGAAACCAACAGGGAUUGCCCUAGUAACGGCGAGUGAAGCGGCAACAGCUCAAAUUUGAAAUCUGGCCCUUUCAGGGUCCGAGUUGUAAUUUGCAGAGGGUGCUUUGGCGUCGGUUGUGGUCUAAGUUCCUUGGAACAGGACGUCACAGAGGGUGAGAAUCCCGUACGUGGCCGCCAACCUUCACCGUGUAAAGCCCCUUCGACGAGUCGAGUUGUUUGGGAAUGCAGCUCUAAAUGGGAGGUAAAUUUCUUCUAAAGCUAAAUACUGGCCAGAGACCGAUAGCGCACAAGUAGAGUGAUCGAAAGAUGAAAAGCACUUUGGAAAGAGAGUUAAAAAGCACGUGAAAUUGUUGAAAGGGAAGCGCUUGCAGCCAGACUUGCCUGUAGUUGCUCAUCCGGGUUUUUACCCGGUGCACUCUUCUAUAGGCAGGCCAGCAUCAGUUUGGGCGGUUGGAUAAAGGUCUCUGUCAUGUACCUCUCUUCGGGGAGAACUUAUAGGGGAGACGACAUGCAACCAGCCCGGACUGAGGUCCGCGCAUCUGCUAGGAUGCUGGCGUAAUGGCUGU
rnacentral:rRNA from 1 species